GUCAUUCCUUAUAACCAGUUACCUCCGUUGAGACUUGGUCGGUACGGCGCACGUCCUACUUCCGGGAUACCCAGCAUUUGACGAAAAUAUGGUCUCUUUUGGGAAGGUGCACACCUUCCAACUAUCAUACCAUUCUUAUUCGUAGCCGAUUGAAGCACGGUCGUCGGCGCCAUUA
rnacentral:rRNA from 1 species